rnacentral:lncRNA from 1 species
GCGUUCCGAGUCGUUUGAGGGUGUCUGGUAAAGCAAGCUCGGGGCGGUGUUGGAAAUCUGAAUGUCACCCGCGGUCCGGAGCAGAUAGGAUGGGCUGGGAAGGUACCCGCGAACUGCCGCCGGAAUUCGCUGGCAGCUGUGCGAGGCUCAGAUUAUUUAAAUUUUCCACAAAUUUCUACGGAUUAAUUCAAUGGCAGCUCACUUUCUCCUUUUAUGAUCGGAUGGGUCCGAAAGUGAGGAAAAAGACAAUUGUCUACAAAGAAAGAGGCUGCCAAGUGGAGACAGAAAAGCAGUUAUGAGACUGAUGAUAGAUUCCAAUUUGUUAUCGGAAGGAGGAGACCUGAACAGUACAUCCGGAGAAUCCAGCAAAGCAUACUACGGCAUGAACGUGCAAGUGGACAGAAUUAAAACACAUGCCAGAAACACUAAUGGAUUCUAAACAAGAUGCAGUUUCAUUUCCUGAGCCUAUACGUGAUGUUUUUAACUGUUCUCCAGUUAAUAUGUCUCCAUUUCCAGAAAUCUAACAGGAGAAUCUCUGACUGCUUAACAGAUCACCUAAGCUUGCGAUUUGUGCAAUCCUUUCUAGAGUAAGGGCUCCCCGGCUGCUCCCCGGCCACUGUGUACCCAAAGCAGCGGCUGAAAUAGCCCGGAGUCCAACA